AUAAGCAGUUUGCAGAAAACCCAAGGCUCCUCUACAGGAACAUGGCAAAGGACACAAUAGAAGUGCAACAGCCAUAUUGAAGGAGGUGCAAUAAAACCUGAUAACCUUAUGGCUACGGCG